rnacentral:ncRNA from 1 species
CUAGUGUGCCGGUUGUCGCGCCAGCGGCAGCGCCGGGUAGCUAUGUCCGGUAGCGAUAAUCGCUGAAAGCAUCUAAGCGAGAAGCGUGCCUCAAGAUAAGCUCUCCCGUAGCAAUAUGCUACCUAAAGACCACUCGUAGACCACGAGUUUGAUAGGCUGGGUGUGGAAGGCGUGUGAGCGCUGUAGCUAACCAGUACUAAUCGGUCGUGCGGUUUAACAUC